rnacentral:rRNA from 1 species
CAGCCGCCGCGGUAAUACGGAGGGUGCAAGCGUUAUCCGGAUUCACUGGGUUUAAAGGGUGCGUAGGUGGGCAGGUAAGUCAGUGGUGAAAUCUCCGGGCUUAACCCGGAAACUGCCGUUGAUACUAUCUGUCUUGAAUGUAGUGGAGGUGAGCGGAAUAUGUCAUGUAGCGGUGAAAUGCUUAGAUAUGACAUAGAACACCCAUUGCGAAGGCAGCUCGCUACACUAUUAUUGACACUGAUGCACGAAAGCGUGGGGAUCAAACAGGAUUAGAUACCCCCGUAGUCCCUGUCUCUUAUAA